rnacentral:sRNA from 1 species
AAUGUGCAUUCUAAAAUGUUGCUAAAUUAUGAUAAUCUACCUAAUUUUACCUGAUUUGCUACUUUUCUACUUAUAAACAGUUGGAGUAGUGAUUAAAAGUAGUCACAUUAUAGGCAAAUGUAUCAUAUAUAGAUAAAACUAUUUUUAUUGAAUUUGUACCAGCAUCUUGCCAAGUUUUGUGUGAUUGAAGAGUAUUUUUUUCUUACUGAUUUUUUUGUGUUACAUGCUCACUUUUGAUCCUAACCCCACAUGAGUUGCUAUUCCUCUGUAUUACAGAUUUUCACUUAAUGUCACAGAGACAUGGCCUGAAUCAUUCCACUAUAUUUAAAGUUAAAAUAGACACUGAAAAUAAGUUUAGAUUGUUUCAUAUAAAAUAGAGAAUUCUAAGCAUUUAGAAGGUACCGACUCAUUUCUGUCAUUUCUCCUUAAGUAGCUCCUUAAAAAGAGAUGGUGAAAUAUAGACACUUCCUUUUUUCCUUUGAGUUACAACAAAUACUUUGGAACUUUUGUUUGUAAUUAAUAUUAAUGUUGAAAUAUGUCAUAUUUCUCAGACUUUAAAUAUGGGAUUUCUAGUUUAUCCUUUGACAUAUUAGUAAAUACAGAAUUAUAUAAUUCAAAAAACAGGCACAGCUUUGUUAGCUUUUGACAUUGUAUAAUAUGAUACUAUCAAAUUUUUAAUAAUAUAUGCCCAGAAUAACCAUAUAAUUUAUCACCAAACCAAGGCAUGGUUACGCUAUGCAUACAUGUGCAUUUAUAAUGGAAAAUAUAGGCUUCAGUUAAAUUUAUGCCCAGAAAAUGGUAUUUAAGAAAGAAAUAGGCACAGUUUCAGUGUUGUUAUCAGUAGUUAAUGGACUGAAAGCCAAGAAUAGUGAUAUUCAGAUAUUGCUGUAAUGUUCUUUUAUUAGUCUCUUAACUGUGCCAUUUUCAAGUGUUUUUGGCCUGAAUGUUUUAUUCAGGCUUAUAAAGGCUAUGUGUGCCAUGCCCAGAAUGGAGUUUUCCUUUGUCAUACCAGUAGGAAAAUGUACCUCCCUGAAGGGCUUGUGUGUUUUGUAAAAGGACAAAAUGCCUUUAUUGUUACUGAGAAGAUUGAGCUUAAUAGGUUUAAAAGGUGUGUGUAUGUGUCUGUAUAUGCCCUUUUUUUCUUUUUAAAGAUAUGGACUUGUUAAAUCAUUUUCCUAAUUUCAGUGCAGUAUAUUUGUAUUUUUCCCCCAGGUGCAUGAAUACCUCAGAAGUAAACUCUGUUCACUGUAUGAAAAUGACUGCAUAUUUGACAAAUUUGAAUGUUGUUGGAAUGGAUCUGACAGUGUUGUCAUGACUGGAUCUUACAAUAAUUUCUUCAGAAUGUUUGACAGAAACACAAAGCGAGACAUAACCCUAGAAGCAUCGCGGGAAAACAAUAAGCCUCGCACAGUUCUGAAGCCUCGCAAAGUCUGUGCAAGUGGCAAGCGAAAGAAAGAUGAAAUAAGUGUUGACAGCCUAGACUUC